UACACCACAUUCACCUCCCCCAUCUGUCCCAUAUAGACGGCUUGACCAGUCGGGCUUCCAAGGUUGAAGUGGCCAAUCAUAUUCAUGGUUGCCAAUGCAUACAUGGUACGGAAUUCUGGAUGCAAGAGGUUAUACCUGAGAAAAAAAGUUAUCCCACAACCAAGAGUAUCCUCUUGCAUAGCUGAUGUCUCCAAUAUGUGAGAUAAGAGCAGGCUGGAACUCUGGAUGCAAGAGGUUCUACCUGAGAAAAAAAGUUAUCCCACAACCAAGAGUAUCCUCUUGCAUAGCUGAUAUCUCCAAUAUGCGAGAUAAGAGCAGGCUUAUCACCAAGAGCUUCAAUAUCACGGCUAAUCCACUUAAUGGUAGAUGAACUU
rnacentral:lncRNA from 1 species